GAUGAACGCUGGCGGCGUGCCUAAUACAUGCAAGUCGAGCGAACGGACGAGAAGCUUGCUUCUCUGAUGUUAGCGGCGGACGGGUGAGUAACACGUGGAUAACCUACCUAUAAGACUGGGAUAACUUCGGGAAGCCGGAGCUAAUACCGGAUGAUAUUUUGAACCGCAUGGUUCAAAAGUGAAAGACGGUCUUGCUGUCACUUAUAGAUGGAUCCGCGCUGCAUUAGCUAGUUGGUAAGGUAACGGCUUACCAAGGCAACGAUGCAUAGCCGACCUGAGAGGGUGAUCGGCCACACUGGAACUGAGACACGGUCCAGACUCCUACGGGAGGCAGCAGUAGGGAAUCUUCCGCAAUGGGCGAAAGCCUGACGGAGCAACGCCGCGUGAGUGAUGAAGGUCUUCGGAUCGUAAAACUCUGUUAUUAGGGAAGAACAUAUGUGUAAGUAACUGUGCACAUCUUGACGGUACCUAAUCAGAAAGCCACGGCUAACUACGUA
rnacentral:rRNA from 1 species